UACGUAGGGUGCAAGCGUUGUCCGGAAUUAUUGGGCGUAAAGAGCUCGUAGGCGGUCUGUCGCGUCGGCUGUGAAAUCUCGGGGCUCAACCCCGAGCCUGCAGUCGAUACGGGCAGACUAGAGUGCUGUAGGGGAGACUGGAAUUCCUGGUGUAGCGGUGAAAUGCGCAGAUAUCAGGAGGAACACCGGUGGCGAAGGCGGGUCUCUGGGCAGUAACUGACGCUGAGGAGCGAAAGCGUGGGGAGCGAACAGG
rnacentral:rRNA from 2 species